UCCGUAGGCGGGCAGCUAAGUCAGUGGUGAAAGUCUGCAGCUCAACUGUAGAAUUGCCAUUGAUACUGGUUGUCUUGAAUUAUUAUGAAGUGGUUAGAAUAUGUAGUGUAGCGGUGAAAUGCAUAGAUAUUACAUAGAAUACCAAUUGCGAAGGCAGAUCACUAAUAAUAUAUUGACGCUGAUGGACGAAAGCGUGGGGAGCGAACAGGAUUAGAUACCCUGGUAGUC
rnacentral:rRNA from 1 species